rnacentral:rRNA from 1 species
GAUGAACGCUGGCGGCGUGCCUAAUACAUGCAAGUCGAGCGAACAGACGAGGAGCUUGCUCCUCUGACGUUAGCGGCGGACGGGUGAGUAACACGUGGAUAACCUACCUAUAAGACUGGGAUAACUUCGGGAAACCGGAGCUAAUACCGGAUAAUAUAUUGAACCGCAUGGUUCAAUAGUGAAAGACGGUUUUGCUGUCACUUAUAGAUGGAUCCGCGCCGCAUUAGCUAGUUGGUAAGGUAACGGCUUACCAAGGCGACGAUGCGUAGCCGACCUGAGAGGGUGAGCGGCGACAUUGGGACUGAGAUACGGCACAGACUCCUAAGGGAGGCAGCAGUGGGGAAUAUUGCACAAUGGGCGGCAGCCUGAUGCAGAAACGCCGCGUGCGGGAUGACGGCCUUCGGGUUGUAAACCGCUUUCGCCUGUGACGAAGCGUGAGUGACGGUAAUGGGUAAAGAAGCACCGGCUAACUACGUG